CUAAGUUUGAUGGCGACCGGCGCACGGGUGAGUAACACGUAUCCAACCUGCCGACGACUCGGGGAUAGCCUUUCGAAAGAAAGAUUAAUACCCGAUGGCAUAGUUCUUCCGCAUGGUAGAACUAUUAAAGAAUUUCGGUCAUCGAUGGGGAUGCGUUCCAUUAGGUUGUUGGCGGGGUAACGGCCCACCAAGCCUUCGAUGGAUAGGGGUUCUGAGAGGAAGGUCCCCCACAUUGGAACUGAGACACGGUCCAA
rnacentral:rRNA from 1 species